UACGAAGGGGGCUAGCGUUGCUCAGAAUCACUGGGCGUAAAGCGCACGUAGGCGGCUUCUUAAGUCAGGGGUGAAAUCCCGGAGCUCAACUCCGGAACUGCCCUUGAAACUGCAAUGCUAGAAUCUUGGAGAGGCGAGUGGAAUUCCGAGUGUAGAGGUGAAAUUCGUAGAUAUUCGGAAGAACACCAGUGGCGAAGGCGACUCGCUGGACAAGUAUUGACGCUGAGGUGCGAAAGCGUGGGGAGCAAACAGG
rnacentral:rRNA from 1 species